AACGAACGCUGGCGACAGGCCUAACACAUGCAAGUCGAGCGAGGACUUCGGUCCUAGCGGCGGACGGGUGAGUAACGCGUGGGAACGUGCCCUUUGCUUCGGAAUAGCCCUGGGAAACUGGGAGUAAUACCGGAUGAGCCCUUUGGGGGAAAGAUUUAUCGGCGAAGGAUCGGCCCGCGUUGGAUUAGGUAGUUGGUGGGGUAAUGGCCUACCAAGCCGACGAUCCAUAGCUGGUUUGAGAGGAUGAUCAGCCACACUGGGACUGAGACACGGCCCAGACUCCUACGGGAGGCAGCAGUGGGGAAUCUUAGACAAUGGGGGAAACCCUGAUCUAGCCAUGCCGCGUGAGCGAUGAAGGCCUUAGGGUUGUAAAGCUCUUUCAGCUGGGAAGAUAAUGACGGUACCAGCAGAAGAAGCCCCGGCUAACUCCGU
rnacentral:rRNA from 1 species